UUUGCUUCUUGGCCUUUAGGCUAAGAUCAAGUAUAGUAUCUGUUCUUAUCAGUUUAAUAUCUGAUAUGUCCUCUAUCUGAGGACAAUAUAUCAAAUGGAUUUUUGGAGCUCAGAUUUGGAAUAGGAGCUUGCUUCUUCCAUUCCACAUUGAUCUGAUAUUGCAGUACCUCUAGGAAAGGUGCACCCCCU
rnacentral:snRNA from 1 species